GAUCCUGGCUCAGGAUGAACGCUGGCGGCGUGCUUAACACAUGCAAGUCGAACGGAGUAUUAAGAAUGAAGUUUUCGGAUGGAUUUUUAGUACUUAGUGGCGGACGGGUGAGUAACGCGUGGGUAACCUGCCUCACACAGGGGGAUAACAGUUGGAAACGACUGUUAAUACCGCAUAAGACCACAGUACCGCAUGGUACAGGGGUAAAAACUCCGGUGGUGUGAGAUGGACCCGCGUCUGAUUAGUUAGUUGGCGGGGUAACGGCCCACCAAGACGACGAUCAGUAGCCGAUCUGAGAGGAUGACCGGCCACAUUGGGGCUGAGACACGGCCCAAACUCCUACGGGAGGCAGCAGUGGGGAAUAUUGCACAAUGGGGGAAACCCUGAUGCAGCCGACGCCGCGUGAGUGAAGAAGUAUUUCGGUAUGUAAAGCUCUAUCAGCAGGGAAGAAAAUGACGGUACCUGAGUAAGAAGCCCCGGCUAACUACGUGCCAGCAGCUGC
rnacentral:rRNA from 1 species